UCUCCACUUACUUAUGAUCUCUGUCAAAUAAAUAAAUCUUAAAAAAAAAAAAAAAGAACGAGGAAUUUUGUUAGAACAUUCACAAUACAAUUUAGCAACCCUGUUUAUUAUUUUAAAAUGACACACGUACCACACCAGGACUCCAAAGGCUUGCUUCCGAUCCUGGCUGUGUGGCUUCCAGUGAAUCACUUACCUCUCUGAGCCUCAAUUUUGGGAUCUAUCAAACAUGGGGAUUAAACCCAACGAGGGGGUUCCAUUUUCUUUAUUCAAACAAAAUCUUAUUUGGGAUCCAACAUCUAAAACACACUAAAAGCUGCGUUUCUCAGUUUUGUGUCAUUUUUGUUUUUCAGGAGGGGAAGGGUCCCCACAGGCCAGCUCUUUGCUCCCCUCCCGCACCCUGAGGCAUCCGGAGGCCUCUCCCUGAGCCCCAGCAUGGAGCCCGGAGCCUAGUGAGGCAGCUCAGAGAAGCACAGAUUGGGAAAUGGAGGCUCCAGCAAAGACGGCCCGGCCUGAUGGCCUCGUGCUGCUCGCGAGGACUCGAUCCAAGGUGGACCGGAAGCUCACGUGUUCUUCUAAGACACUAGGUGAACAUAGGAAAGUUCUUUGAAAAAGAAACUCCUUUGUUUCUAAAGGAAGAAUGUGGCGUUCUAGCUCAGCAGCUCCUGCUCUGAAUGGGCAACACCACGGAGCAGAGCACCAGCUCUGGUACGAACUCAGGAACUCACUCACGUUCUGUAAAGAAGCUUUGCCCAAGAGCAGUAUAGUCAUCGUGGCAGCGGCACAGACACAAAAGAAAUUCAACAGAAACAUCAUCUUGCUGGUAGAUAAAAAACAGUAGAAGGAGCCCAGCAUAACCAGGACUGCCAAGAGUAAAGGGGGAGCCAAAAAGGGGAGAGUCAGAGAAGGCAGAAACUUUAAAUUCUGUGUAGAGACUCCACUCAAGUCUCUGGCAGAUCCCCUCGAACCAGGCAUGUGUGAAAGAAGUUUGCAGCCAAGGCUUCGAGAACAGAACCGAGAUCUGAGCCAUCGCCCAGUAGAGCACGGCAGGGUUGGCGGUGGGGCUAACCAAAUCCACUGCCUAAAACAAAAACCUCAGCGCCAUUCAGAACAGUAAAACAAUCCAAAGCCUCCACAAUAGAACAUUUCCAAUGUCCAGGAUAUAAUCCACAGUUACUGAAUUUGUGAAGAGUGAGGAAAAUAGGAUCCAUUUCCAAGGAGAAAGUGAACCAACAGAUGCUAAUCCCAAGAGGACGUGGAUGUUGGACUUUUCACACAAGGACUUUCAAGCAGCUAUUCUAACUAUGCUCAGUGAGGGGAACAAUAAUUUGGAUUACCACAGAAGUCUCCUCAAAAAGCAUGGAAGUCAGAAGACAGCACUAAGAGAAAGAAACUUGUCCCUGAACACUCUGUGAUUCAGUCAUGAAGGUGAAAGGAAGAGCUCACUUUCAGAUAAAGAAAAACUAAGUUAAUUUGUCCCCAUGCUGCUAUCCUAUACAGAAUGCUACAUAAAAGGUCUUCAGGCUGCAGAGCAUUGAUAACAGAGAGAAAGAGGUUUUCAGGAAUGAGUGAAGAACAUCAGAAAUAAAUACUGUAUGAGUAAAUAUGAAAGACUGUAUUUUCUCUUAAUUUCUCUAAAGUACAUGUGACUAUUAAAGCAAAAAUUAUAACAAUGUAUUGUGAGUUUAUAAUUCAUGCAAAUGUGAUACCUAUAAUAACUAUGACAGCGGGGGGGGUAAAUGGACAUAUAUCUUGAGAGAUUUCUACAUUUUACACAAAAUAGUACAAUAUUACUUUUAAGUGGACUAUGAACAGUUAAUAUGUCAUGAUCUGCAGAGUGAUGGCUAAUAUAUUAGAGAAAAGACACAGCAAAAUGCCAAUAGAUAUAUUAAAAUGGGAUUCUAAAAGACAAAUAAUCCAAAAGAAAACAAGAAAAAGGGAACAAAUAAGCAAAACAAACCAGAGGGAGUAAACAGAAAACAAACAACGACAGACCUAAAUCCUCAUACCGAUUAUUAAAGGUCAAUGGACCAUAUACUCCAAUGAGAGAGACUAUCAGAAUAUAUUUUAAAAAAGCAAGACUUAAGUAUGUAUGACCUACCAGAGAUGCACAUUAAAUACAGAGACAUCAAUCAGGUGAAAAUAAAUGCAUGGAAAAAGAUACACUGUACAAACAGUAAACUUAGAGGGCAGGAACAGCUAUAUUAAUAACGCGCAGUAACAGACUUCAAGAUGGAAUAUGAACAA